rnacentral:misc_RNA from 1 species
GAUGAAGAACGUAGCGAAAUGCGAUAAGUAAUGUGAAUUGCAGAAUUCAGUGAAUCAUCGAAUCUUUGAACGCACAUUGCGCCCGCUAGUAUCCUGGCGGGCAUGCCUGUUCGAGCGUCAUUUCAACCAUCAAGCUCCUUAGCUUGUGUUGGGGACCUGCGGCUGCCGCAGCCCCCGAAAUGCAGUGGCGGGCUCGUUGUCACACCGAGUGCAGUAAUCAUUCUUCUCUCCGGGCGUGGCGGCGGGUUCCGGCCGUAAAAUCACCAAUUUAUCAAGGUUGACCUCGGAUCAGGUAGGAAUACCCGCUGAACUUAAGCAUAUCAAUAAGCGGAGGA